GUGAGGAAUAUUGGACAAUGGGCGCAAGCCUGAUCCAGCCAUGCCGCGUGCAGGAAGACGCAUCUAUGGCGUGUAAACUGCUUUUGUACGGGAAGAAACACUCCCUCGUGAGGGAGCUUGACGGUACCGUAAGAAUAAGGAUCGGCUAACUCCGUGCCAGCAGCCGCGGUAAUACGGAGGAUCCAAGCGUUAUCCGGAAUCAUUGGGUUUAAAGGGUCCGUAGGCGGUUUAAUAAGUCAGUGGUGAAAGCCCAUCGCUCAACGAUGGAACGGCCAUUGAUACUGUUAGACUUGAAUUACAAGGAAGUAACUAGAAUAUGUAGUGUAGCGGUGAAAUGCUUAGAUAUUACAUGGAAUACCAAUUGCGAAGGCAGGUUACUACUUGUGGAUUGACGCUGAUGGACGAAAGCGUGGGGAGCGAACAGGAUUAGAAACCCUGGUAGUCC
rnacentral:rRNA from 1 species